rnacentral:rRNA from 1 species
AUUGAACGCUGGCGGCAGGCCUAACACAUGCAAGUCGAGCGGAUGAAGGGAGCUUGCUCCUGGAUUCAGCGGCGGACGGGUGAGUAAUGCCUAGGAAUCUGCCUGGCAGUGGGGGAUAACGUCCGGUAACGGGCGCUAAUACCGCAUACGUUCUGAGGGAGAAAGAGGGGGAUCUUCGGACCUCACGCUAUCAGAUGAGCCUAGGUCGGAUUAGCUAGUUGGUGGGGUAAAGGCCUACCAAGGCGACGAUCCGUAACUGGUCUGAGAGGAUGAUCAGUCAAACUGGAACUGAGACACGGUCCAGACUCCUACGGGAGGCAGCAGUGGGGAAUAUUGGACAUAGGGCGAAAGCCUGAUCCAGCCAUGCCGCGUGUGUGAAGAAGGUCUUCGGAUUGUAAAGCACUUUAAGUUGGAAGGAAGGGCAGUAAGUUAAUACCUUGCUGUUCUGACGUUACCAACAGAAUAAGCACCGGCUAACUUCGUG